rnacentral:rRNA from 1 species
GCCUGGUUAGUACUUGAAUGGGAGACUUUCUGGGAAUGCCAGGU